UUAAUUGAAGCCAAAACUAGAGGCGUAUCACUGUUAAUGAUAUCAUUGAAGUUUAACUUCCACUUAAG
rnacentral:tRNA from 1 species